AUGGCGGCCAGACGGAACAUUCCUUAUUCUGUUCUUCCUACGGAGGACAGGGAUGAAGACAAUGUUGACCGCCGGUUCACAUACACUCCAAAAUCCUUGAGGAGGAUCCCGUGGAAGUCGAUUGCCCUAGCAUUGUUCCUCCUCUUCCUGGGAAGCUCUCUUCUCUUCCUUUCGUACUUUAUAUCCACAGGUCACAUGGAGGGUGAUAGCUCUCAGGUGUAUGGUCUAUUGUUCCUGGGCAUCCUUGCCUUUCUUCCUGGAUUUUAUGAGACCCGAGUUGCAUACUAUUCAUGGAGAGGAGCACCAGGGUUCACCUUUGCGGCCAUUCCAGACUAUUAG
rnacentral:rRNA from 1 species